rnacentral:tRNA from 1 species
GGGGGCGGAUGGGGUCUGGUGGCCCUCCCGGUCUUCAAAAUCGUGCGAGAGGCGAGCCGAUCUCGUCUCUGGUGGGUUCGAUUCCCACACGCUCCC